rnacentral:lncRNA from 1 species
ACCACGGCACUCGACACCGGCCUGCAUAGCAUCCGUCCCGAUCUCGCCAUGCGUCUCGUGCUGCUCAUGCUGCUGGUCGUCUGCGCGGCGGCCGCUGUCGGCGCCGCGACCGCCCACCCCGGCACGUGUCCUCCUGCGAGAGACGUGUGCCCGGCGUUCAACAGAAGCAGUGCAGGACCGCGCUACUGCGGCCACGAUGGCCAGUGCUCUCCCAAAGAAAAAUGCUGCUACGACGUCUGCGCCCAUGCGCACGUCUGCAAGACGCCCCUGCAUAGCGGAUAAGCGACUGGCGAUCGGCUGCGGUUGGUCAGCGACCCUGAGGGCGGAGCCAGGUGCGACACUGCCGACAGCUAGAUACAUCUCGGCGACAUUCGCCCACUCGGCAUGCCUCGCCCCCCCCCCCCCUCCUGAUGCUGCGGCGUUGUAUACCCAGAUGUUGCUUUAAUGCGUGCGCCAUGUCAUAGUAAUGUCUAUAUGUCUGCGCACGUCUGUAUGUAUUGAGCUGAUGCCAUGUUACGUUACCUCCAUUAUAAUGAAACGAUGCCA